AUGCUCACUUACACAGCACAUACACUGAGACUGGAAUAAUACAGAGAAGAUCAAUGUGUCUCCUGCACAAGGAUGACAGCCAAAUUCAUGAAACAUUUCAUAUUUUU
ensembl:snRNA U6 U6 spliceosomal RNA